GCAUGGCCAAAUCAGCCUGAAUGCACCCGAUCUGGGCAGGCCUCGUAAGCUAAGCAAGUUCGAGCCUGGUUAGUACUGGGAUAGGAGAUUGCUUGGGAAUACCGGGUGUUGCAGGCU
rnacentral:rRNA from 1 species